GUGAAGGUGGCUCAAUGGUAGAGCGCUUGCCUUGCAUGCAUGAGGCCCUAGAUUCUAUUCCUCAGCACCACA
rfam:Dipodomys ordii contig_498, whole genome shotgun sequence.